GUGCCAGCAGCCGCGGUAAUACGGAGGGUGCAAGCGUUAUCCGGAUUCACUGGGUUUAAAGGGUGCGUAGGCGGGCCGGUAAGUCAGUGGUGAAAUCCUGGGGCUUAACCCCAGAACUGCCGUUGAUACUAUCGGUCUUGAAUGUUGUGGAGGUGAGCGGAAUAUGUCAUGUAGCGGUGAAAUGCUUAGAGAUGACAUAGAACACCAAUUGCGAAGGCAGCUCACUACGCAACGAUUGACGCUGAGGCACGAAAGCGUGGGGAUCAAACAGGAUUAGAUACCCUGGUAGUCC
rnacentral:rRNA from 1 species